rnacentral:rRNA from 1 species
GACGACGCUGGCGGCGUGCUUAACACAUGCAAGUCGAACGAGUGGCGAACGGGUGAGUAAUGCUUGGGAAUCUGGCUUAUGGAGGGGGAUAACGACGGGAAACUGUCGCUAAUACCGCGUACCAUAGGAUGAGCCCAAGUGGGAUUAGUGAGUUGGUGGGGUAAUGGCCUACCAAGACGACGAUCCCUAGCUGGUCUGAGAGGAUGACCAGCCACACUGGAACUGAGACACGGUCCAGACUCCUACGGGAGGCAGCAGUGGGGAAUAUUGCACAAUGGGCGCAAGCCUGAUGCAGCCAUGCCGCGUGGAUGAAGAAGGCCUUCGGGUUGUAAAGUACUUUCAGCGGGGAGGCGUUACCCGCAGAAGAAGCACCGGCUAACUCCGUGCCAGCAGCCGCGGUAAUAC